rnacentral:misc_RNA from 1 species
AUGUAUAGGGUCGGUAAG